rnacentral:tRNA from 1 species
GCCGUUUUAGCUCAUGUUGGAAGAGCACCGGACUUUUAAUCCGGGUGUGGCGGGUUCAACUCCCGCAAGCGGCA